AAGUGGCAGACCAGUGCCUUAGGUUUAAGCCCUAACUAGGGAUCAAACAUCCCUUUACUA
rnacentral:tRNA from 1 species